UACGUAGGGUGCGAGCGUUGUCCGGAAUCACUGGGUGUAAAGGGUGCGUAGGCGGGAGAGUAAGUCCGCGGUGAAAUCUCACAGCUCAACUGUGAAACUGCCGUUGAUACUGCUUUUCUUGAGUUCGGGAGAGGUUGAUGGAAUUCCAGGUGUAGCGGUGAAAUGCGUAGAUAUCUGGAAGAACACCAGUGGCGAAGGCGGUCAACUGGCCCGUAACUGACGCUGAGGCACGAAAGCGUGGGUAGCGAACAGG
rnacentral:rRNA from 1 species